rnacentral:lncRNA from 1 species
GCUGCACUUACUGCAGGAUUCAUACCCAGAUCUGCUUUACUUUCCAUAAGUAACUUAUCUAUUGUGAGCACAGAUUUUACUAGCUCAACAAUCAGAAGUUAACCUUUGUCCCCACACCCCAUAAAACAUAUGCAACAAAUAAAGCUGAGGAGCUGAUAUAUGUGUACAAAUACUACACAGGGAAACAACAUCCUUUAAGAUGACAAAAUUAAAAAAACCUUUAAGAUGGUGAGAGGUACUCGGAUUCCAGAGUUAGGAGAGCCAGGAGAAUAAGAGAAAGCCCAUGGAAGACAGCAUUUGGCCUCGCCUUGCAAGAAAGAAAAAAGUAGAUUACUGGCUGGGCACAAUAGCUCAUGCCUGUAAUCCCAGCACUUUGGGAGACCGAGGCAGGUGGAUCACCUGAGGUCAGGAGUUCGAGACCAGCCUGGCUGACAUAGUGAAACCCCGUCUCUACUAAAAAUACAAAAAAUUAGCCGGGCGUGGUGGCAGGAGCCUGUAAUCUCAGCUACUCAGGAGGCUGAGGUAGGAGAAUCGCUUGAACCCAGGAGGCGGAGAUUGCAGUGAGCUGAGAUCGCGCCAUUGCACUCCAGCCUAGGUGACAAGAGCAAGACUCCAUCUCAAAAAAAAAAAAAAAAAAUCAGUGGAUUACCUUAAUCUACAGAUUAAAUUUUCAAAUACAAUUUUCUCUUGGUAUCUGUGGGAGAUUGGUACCAGGACCCCUGAGGAAACCAAAAUACAAGGAUGCUAAGGCCCCUUAUAUAAAAUGGUGUAGUAUUUGCAUAUAACCUAUGCACAUCCUCCUGUAUACUGUAAAUCAUCUCUAGAUUAUUUAUAAUGCCUUAGACACUGUAAUGCUAUGUACAUAUUUAUUAUACUGUAUUGCUUUUUAUUUGUGCUUUUUUGUUGUAUUGUUAUUUUUAAUUGUUUGUAAAAAAUAUUUUCAAUCUGCCAUUGGUUGGAGCUGCUGAUGUGGAACAGCAGGAUCUGGAAGGCCAACUGUAUUGUUUACUUCUCACUUAGCAAUUUCCUAGGAUUCCUUUUGUUUGAUUAAGAACUUCUAUUUUUAAAAAAAUAGAAAUACAGAAUGUUUUCCAGUGUUUAAAACAAUCACCAUGUUUUCCUUUUGACCUUAAUAAAUUGUAAAAAAGAUCAAUUGCUAAGUUUUGAAGUUUCAUUUCCUUGUCCUUUGAUGACAUUAACUCUAUUUGGGAACAAGGAUUAUGUAAAACUCAUUGAGUCAAAAUUGAAUGACUAGAAUACCAGCUA